rnacentral:rRNA from 1 species
GCUUGCUUCUUGGGGUUGUAGGACACUCUAUACGGAGUUACAAAAGAAAGUUAUAAAUGAAGCGGUCUGGAAAGGCCCGCCAAAGACGGUAACAGCCCGGUAGUUGAAAUGGCUUUCCCUCCAGAGUGGAUCCUGAGUACGGCGGAACACGUGAAAUUCCGUCGGAAUCCGGGAGGACCAUCUCCCAAGGCUAAAUACUCCCUAGUGACCGAUAGUGAACCAGUACCGUGAGGGAAAGGUGAAAAGCACCCCGGAAGGGGAGUGAAACAGUUCCUGAAACCGUGUGCCUACAAGUAGUUAGAGCCCGUUAAUGGGUGAUAGCGUGCCUUUUGUAGAAUGAACCGGCGAGUUACGAUUUGUUGCAAGGUUAAGCGGAAAAAGCGGAGCCGUAGCGAAAGCGAGUCUGAAUAGGGCGCAUAAGUAACAGGUCGUAGACCCGAAACCAGGUGAUCUACCCAUGUCCAGGAUGAAGGUAAGGUAAUACUUACUGGAGGUCCGAACCCACGCACGUUGAAAAGUGCGGGGAUGAGGUGUGGGUAGCGGAGAAAUUCCAAUCGAACUUGGAGAUAGCUGGUUCUCUC